UAGUCGGGCGGGAUAACCCUUACCUGUUCCUCCUUCUGGAGGGCAGUGGAAUAUGGUAAUCGGGGUUGUAGGAUACUUGACUAACGUCUCUGUGUAAUGAGGGCUUGCAAUAUCCUGAUUGAUCCUUCUUCCUGAA
rnacentral:snoRNA from 1 species